rnacentral:rRNA from 1 species
CCUACGGGGUGCUGCAGUGGGGAAUAUUGGACAAUGGGCGAAAGCCUGAUCCAGCCAUGCCGCGUGUGUGCAGAAGGCCUUCGGGUUGUAAAGCACUUUCAGUGGGGAAGAAAGCCUUGGGGCUAAUACCCUCGAGGAAGGACAUCACCCACAGAAGAAGCACCGGCUAACUCCGUGCCAGCAGCCGCGGUAAUACGGAGGGUGCGAGCGUUAAUCGGAAUUACUGGGCGUAAAGCGCGCGUAGGCGGUCUGAUAAGCCGGUUGUGAAAGCCCCGGGCUCAACCUGGGAACGGCAUCCGGAACUGUCAGGCUAGAGUGCAGGAGAGGAAGGUAGAAUUCCCGGUGUAGCGGUGAAAUGCGUAGAGAUCGGGAGGAAUACCAGUGGCGAAGGCGGCCUUCUGGACUGACACUGACGCUGAUGUGCGAAAGCGUGGGUAGCAAACAGGAUUAGAUACCCCAGUAGUC